AAAAAGAUAAACCUUGGAUUUCCGUGUCCAACUUUGACUGUCCGUCUUAUAUGAAAUUUUUUUAUAAUUCGUAUUUUCAUUGUUGUUAGAUGAUAAAACACGAUUAAUAUUUUAUGCGUGACUUAUCUUUUUAAUUCUUUUCAUAAUUUUUUCAAAUAAGAUGGACGGUCAAAUGUUAGGCACGGAAACCAGGGUUUGUCUUUUU
rnacentral:pre_miRNA from 1 species